ACGGCGAGUGAAGCGUGGAAGAGCUCAAAUUUGUAAUCUGGCACCUUCGGUGUCCGAGUUGUAAUCUCGAGAAGUGUUUUCCGCGCCGGACCGCAUACAAGUCUGUUGGAAUACAGCGUCAUAGUGGUGAGAACCCCGUAACUGAUGCGGAUGCCCGGUGCUUUGUGAUACACUUUCGAAGAGUCGAGUUGUUUGGGAAUGCAGCUCAAAUUGGGUGGUAAAUUCCAUCUAAAGCUAAAUAUUGGCGAGAGACCGAUAGCGAACAAGUACCGUGAGGGAAAGAUGAAAAGCACUUUGGAAAGAGAGUUAACAGUACGUGAAAUUGUUGGAAGGGAAACGCUUGAAGUCAGACUUGCUAUUUGGAAUUCAGCCGCAAGGUGUACUUUUCAAUUCGCAGGCCAGCAUCAGUUUUCGGGGGUGGAAAAGGGUAGAGAGAAGGUAGCAAUUUCGGUUGUGUUAUAGCUCUUUGCUGGAUUCAUCCUUGGGGACUGAGGAACGCAGCACGCUUUUUGCAAGGCUUUACGAGCUUUUCGUGCUUAGGAUGCUCGGUGG
rnacentral:rRNA from 1 species